UGAUGUUAGUAGUCUUUUCACCAUUCUGUUCCACUUCCCAUUCCCAAAUCUCCAAAAAGGUUCAUGAGAAUACUGUGGACUUUGAACUAGUUUAUUAAGAUUUUAUAUAUAAAAAUCUCACAUGUGAGAAUAUUCAUAAUGGUUUACUGGGUUUGUUCAUAAUUGGGAAAUAAUGCAAAUAUAAAAUAUCUAAAUCCUAUAUCAUAAACUAUAUGCAAUAUUAGUAAAUACAUCUGUUUUCUUCCUUUCUUUCUCUCUCUCUGAAAUACAGGUUUGUUCAGCCCAUUACAGAUGCUAGCUUGAAAAGGACCGAGUCCUGGGAUAAAUUCUACAAGUACAAGGCACAGAGGUCUAUUCAGCUGGGAGUAUAUCCUAGAGCUUUUUGUUUGUUUUAUUUUGUGGUGCUUGGGAUCAGACCCAGGGCCUUGAACAUACUCAGCAAGUACUCUAUCACUGAACUACUCACGCCCCAGACCCUGGGAUUAUGUUUUGUACCAAAAAUAGGAAUAGAGAUGAGAAAACUAUGCUAUUAGUGGUCUUAGCUGAUGAAGAGAAGAAAAAACUCCUAACUUAAUAGAUGCUAUUUGAUAAAUCUUCAUAGAAGAGAUUUCAUUCAUAGGAAGAUUUCUAGGAAGAGUGAAUAUCAUAAUUCUACUUAAGGUUAUUUAUCAUCUGGUACAGUCCAAAUCCACUAAAAGUAGUAAAGUUAACAAAAGGCUCACAGCCAAUGCUAAAAAAUUAAGUAUGAAUUUUAGGGAUGGAAGAGAAAAAAACACUUUCAGCCAAUUUGACCAUCUAUAGGGAAAACUUAAAUGAAUCAAUUGACCAGCUCUUGGAAUGAAUAAAAAGGCUCUGUAAGAUGGCUGUGAUAUGCAAAAUCAACAUUGAGUCCACGCUAAUAACCAAUCUUUUGAACUUGUUUUUAUGUAAACAUUAAACAUGGGAUGCCAUGUUUGGUACACGUAUACAUGGUAUAAUGUUUGAUCAAUUUGCUCAAACAUUGAACAUCUGUUUAUGGUGAAAACAUUCAAAGUCACUUCUUCCAGCCUUCUGAAAUAUACAGUCCAUUAUUGCAAACUGUAUUGUGCAACAAUACAACACACACCAGGAUUUGUUCCUGUCACAGUACUUAUUGAUCAACUUUUCCCCAUAACCAGUUCAUAAAUGUCUUUUUAGGUAUCUCCAUUCACAAUAACGAUAUUGCAGCGCUUAUCAAGUAAAAUUAUACACCCAACAUGAAGUGUAAAAGACCUUUAUGGAGACAACUCUGAAAUUUUGCUAAAAAGACCUGAAAAAAUGGAGACAUUCCAGGAACCAGAAAGACCCAUUAUUAUAAAACUCUCCAUUCCUCCCUCAAAUUCAUUAAAAUUUCAAUCAAUAUCCAAAAAAUAAUAUGAACUUGGAAGAUAAAUGUGCAACAAUAGGUGAGAACAUUUAAAUAAAAAAAGAUGUGGAACUUCUGUGGGGUUUCUUGUUGGUUUUUUGGGGGAGGUACUGGGGAUUGAACUCAGGGGCACUCAACCACUGAGCCACAUGCUCAGCCCUUUUUUGUGUUUUAUUUAAGAGACAGGGUUUCACUGAGUUGCAAAU
rnacentral:lncRNA from 1 species